CCUACGGGAGGCAGCAGUGGGGAAUAUUGGACAAUGGGCGAAAGCCUGAUCCAGCAAUGCCGCGUGAGUGAUGAAGGCCUUAGGGUUGUAAAGCUCUUUUACUAGGGAUGAUAAUGACAGUACCUAGAGAAUAAGCCCCGGCUAACUCCGUGCCAGCAGCCGCGGUAAUACGGAGGGGGCUAGCGUUGUUCGGAAUUACUGGGCGUAAAGAGUACGUAGGCGGUUAUUCAAGUCAGAGGUGAAAGCCUGGAGCUCAACUCCAGAACUGCCUUUGAAACUAGAUAGCUAGAAUCAUGGAGAGGUUAGUGGAAUUCCGAGUGUAGAGGUGAAAUUCGUAGAUAUUCGGAAGAACACCAGUGGCGAAGGCGACUAACUGGACAUGUAUUGACGCUGAGGUACGAAAGCGUGGGGAGCAAACAGGAUUAGAUACCCUGGUAGUCCACGCCGUAAACGAUGAUAACUAGCUGUUCGGGCUCUCAGAGCUUGAGUGGCGCAGCUAACGCAUUAAGUUAUCCGCCUGGGGAGUACGGUCGCAAGGAUUAAAACUUAAAUGAAUUGACGCUUGAGAGNGCGAGNGACGACGAGGAGAG
rnacentral:rRNA from 1 species